UACAGAGGUCCCAAGCGUUGUUCGGAUUCACUGGGCGUAAAGGGUGCGCAGGUGGGUUUGCAAGUUCGAUGUGAAAGCCCCGGGCUUAACCCGGGAAUGGCAUUGGAUACUGCAGAUCUGGAGGAUCGGAGGGGGGACUGGAAUUCUUGGUGUAGCAGUGAAAUGCGUAGAUAUCAAGAGGAACACCAGUGGCGAAGGCGAGUCCCUGGACGAUACCUGACACUGAGGCACGAAAGCGUGGGGAGCAAACAGG
rnacentral:rRNA from 1 species